rnacentral:rRNA from 1 species
UGGGGGAUAUUGCACAAUGGGCGAAAGCCUGAUGCAGCGACGCCGCGUGGGGGAUGAAGGCCUUCGGGUUGUAAACUUCUUUUGCUCUGAACAAGGCAUGCUAAUGGGUGUGUUGAGUGUAGGGGUUGAUUAGCGCCGGCUAACUACGUGCCAGCAGCCGCGGUAAUACGUAGGGCGCGAGCGUUGUCCGGAAUUAUUGGGCGUAAAGGGCUUGUAGGUGGCUGGUUGCGUCUGUCGUGAAAGCUCAUGGCUUAACUGUGGGUUUGCGGUGGGUACGGGCUGGCUUGAGUGCAGUAGGGGAGGCUGGAAUUCCUGGUGUAGCGGUGGAAUGCGCAGAUAUCAGGAGGAAUACCGGUGGCAAAGGCGGGUCUCUGGGCUGUUACUGACACUGAGGAGCGAAAGCAUGGGGAGCGAACAGG